AUGAGAUCCUGGUAUGGGAGAUCCUCGUCCGCCUCGACCCCAAAUCCAUCCUCCGCAGCCGCGCCGUCCGCCGCGACUGGCGCUGCGCCACCACCAACCACCGAUUCCUCCAGGCCCACCACGCUCGCCAGCCCGCCCUGCCCAUCCUCUCCAGCGACGGUUACCGUAACAUCCUCACCUUCGACCACCGGGCCGCCGCCGGCUCCCAGCUCCACACCGUCGCUCGGCUUGCUCUCUCCCAGCCCUUCAAGCUCGAGGCCUCCUGCGAUGGCCUCCUCAUUCUCUCCAAGCAUGAGAUGGCUGGCUCUCGCCCUGGCCUCGGCCCUCGCGCCCUCCUCACCGUCUGCAACCCGGUCACUCGGCAGCAUGCCUCCCUCACGCGGACACUCAAGGACUUCAACAUCUUGGGGAUGUACCCACACCGCCCUACCGGCAAGUAAUAGCUUGCAUUGGUACCCAGUGUGUUAUACCCCAGUGGAUGGGGAGACUGCAUUUUUUCAGCUUGAAAGCAAACUAGUAAUUGUGUUCGACACAAUAGCUGAGUCGUUUCGGCAGAUACGUGCUCCCCUUGCUCCUCCCGCCAACUACUCAUGUAUCUUUGAGAUGGAUGACAUGCUUGGUAUCUAUAGCUGUGACAAGGCCAAGAAAAUUGUUGAUAUAUGGGUGCUGCACAACUAUGAAAGUGAGGUUUGGGACUUAAAGUACCGGGUUGAUUUGUCAACCACAGAAAUCUGGGGGAAGUUUGUAGGCCUUGGUGGUGAUAGCUAUUGGCAUGUGACUGUUGUUUCAGGUGAUGGUGACGUGCUCUUGCUGGUCAGGUUUGGUCAAUCGCAGAACUGGCUAUUUUAUGUUGACACUAAUGGAAAACUGGUUGCUAGCUUCCAAGACUUAUAUGUUGGUGAAGGUCGGUUCAAACAAACUCUUGUUCGGCAUGAUUUCUUCACGACACUAGAAGGCCAUGCCGUGGAUGCUUCACCUUUCAUCUGA
rnacentral:rRNA from 1 species